rnacentral:rRNA from 1 species
GUGGGGAAUUGUUCGCAAUGGGCGCAAGCCUGACGACGCAACGCCGCGUGGAGGAUGAAGGACUUCGGUCCGUAAACUCCUUUCGACCGAGAUGAAGACUCCUUGACCUAACACGUCGAGGAAUUGACAGUAUCGAGGGAAGCAGCCCCGGCUAACUCCGUGCCAGCAGCCGCGGUAAUACGGGGGGGGCAAGCGUUGUUCGGAAUUACUGGGCGUAAAGGGUUCGUAGGUGGCCAACUAAGUCAGACGUGAAAUCCCUCAGCUUAACUGGGGAACUGCGUCUGAUACUGGUUGGCUUGAGUGCAGGAGAGGAACGCGGAAUUCCAGGUGUAGCGGUGAAAUGCGUAGAUAUCUGGAGGAACACCGGUGGCGAAGGCGGCGUUCUGGACUGCAACUGACACUGAGGAACGAAAGCCAGGGUAGCAAACGGGAUUAGAUACCCUAGUAGUCC